rnacentral:lncRNA from 1 species
UCACUCGAACUUUAGGAGUAGUUGGUGUUUAGCAUGUUUUCGAAAAGUAUAUAUAUGUAGUGUCUUUUAGAUAAUUUGAACGUAGUUGAGUAAGGUUGUCUUUUUGAAGCUUGUAUCGACCGAUUUGUACUCGUAAUUCCAAGAUGGCACACACUUUGCACAAGACCUUUGAUGGAGAGAUUGUCUAGUGAUAUUAUUCGAUACCUGAGAGAGAACCCACAUGUUGAAACAAUGUCGAAUCGAAC